rnacentral:rRNA from 1 species
UACGGAGGGAGCUAGCGUUGUUCGGAAUUACUGGGCGUAAAGCGUGCGUAGGCGGUUAUUCAAGUCAGAGGUGAAAGCCCGGGGCUCAACCCCGGAACGGCCUUUGAAACUAGGUAACUAGAAUCUUGGAGAGGUUAGUGGAAUUCCGAGUGUAGAGGUGAAAUUCGUAGAUAUUCGCAAGAACACCAGUGGCGAAGGCGGCUCACUGGCCCGAGUACUGACGCUGAGGUGCGAAAGCGUGGGGAGCAAACAGG